GCGCGCAUAGCUCAGUUGGUAGAGCGUUCGUCUUAUACACGAAUGGUCCCAGGUUCGAGUCCUGGUGCGCGCACUA
rnacentral:tRNA from 1 species